CUACGGGGUGCAGCAGUGGGGAAUAUUGCACAAUGGGCGCAAGCCUGAUGCAGCCAUGCCGCGUGUAUGAAGAAGGCCUUCGGGUUGUAAAGUACUUUCAGCGGGGAGGAAGGGAGUAAAGUUAAUACCUUUGCUCAUUGACGUUACCCGCAGAAGAAGCACCGGCUAAGUCCGUGCCAGCAUCCGCGGUAAUACGGAGGGUGCAAGCGUUAAUCGGAAUUACUGGGCGUAAAGCGCACGCAGGCGGUUUGUUAAGUCAGAUGUGAAAUCCCCGGGCUCAACCUGGGAACUGCAUCUGAUACUGGCAAGCUUGAGUCUCGUAGAGGGGGGUAGAAUUCCAGGUGUAGCGGUGAAAUGCGUAGAGAUCUGGAGGAAUACCGGUGGCGAAGGCGGCCCCCUGGACGAAGACUGACGCUCAGGUGCGAAAGCGUGGGGAGCAAACAGGAUUAGAUACCCCGGUAGUC
rnacentral:rRNA from 1 species